ACUGUGGAGUGUACAAGAACUUGUUAGUAGCAAAAUCUUUGCAAAAGCAUACACAAUGAAGCAGUAA
rnacentral:sRNA from 18 species